rnacentral:rRNA from 1 species
CUACGGGUGUGCUGCAGUGGGGAAUAUUGGACAAUGGGCGAAAGCCUGAUCCAGCCAUGCCGCGUGUGUGAAGAAGGCCUUCGGGUUGUAAAGCACUUUCAGUGGGGAAGAAAGCCUUGGGGCUAAUACCCUCGAGGAAGGACAUCACCCACAGAAGAAGCACCGGCUAACUCCGUGCCAGCAGCCGCGGUAAUACGGAGGGUGCGAGCGUUAAUCGGAAUUACUGGGCGUAAAGCGCGCGUAGGCGGUCUGAUAAGCCGGUUGUGAAAGCCCCGGGCUCAACCUGGGAACGGCAUCCGGAACUGUCAGGCUAGAGUGCAGGAGAGGAAGGUAGAAUUCCCGGUGUAGCGGUGAAAUGCGUAGAGAUCGGGAGGAAUACCAGUGGCGAAGGCGGCCUUCUGGACUGACACUGACGCUGAGGUGCGAAAGCGUGGGUAGCAAACAGGAUUAGAUACCCUGUAGUC